rnacentral:rRNA from 1 species
GACGUAGGGUCCGAGCGUUGUCCGGAGUUACUGGGCGUAAAGGGCGCGUAGGCGGUUCUCCAAGUCCGUUGUGAAAGCCCCGGGCUCAACCUGGGAAUGGCAGUGGAAACUAGGGGACUGGAAUCUGGCAGAGGGGGGUGGAAUGCCGCGUGUAGCAGUGAAAUGCGUAGAGAUGCGGCGGAACACCGAUGGCGAAGGCAGCCCCCUGGGCUGAGAUUGACGGCUCAGGCACGAAAGCGUGGGGAGCAAACAGG